AAGGCUUGACAUGUUCGGCAAAGUUGCUGAAAGGCAAUAGAGGUUAUCCGAACACAGGUGCUGCAUGGCCGUCGUCAGUUCGUGCCGUGAGGUGUAUGGUUAAGUCCUAUAACGAACGCAACCCUUGGGCUUAGUUACCAGCAUUCAUUGGGGACUCUAAGCCGACUGCCCGAGUAAUCGGGAGAAGGAAGGAUGACGUCUGGUCGUCAUGGCCCUUAUGCCUUGGGCGACACACGU
rnacentral:rRNA from 1 species